rnacentral:rRNA from 1 species
UCACUUUCAACAACGGAUCUCUUGGCUCUCGCAUCGAUGAAGAACGUAGCGAAGUGCGAUAAGUAGUGUGAAUUGCAGAAUUCCGUGAAUCAUCGAAUCUUUGAACGCAAAUUGCACUCUCUGGCAACCCGGGGAGUAUGCCUGUUUGAGG